rnacentral:rRNA from 1 species
UUAAUUGAAAUUUAAUUUUUUUUGUUUUAAUAGUUUAUAAAUUUUUAUUAAUAAAAAUAUUUUUAUUCUGUUUUAGUAAUAUUAAAUAAAAAAAUUAUUUAUAUUUAUAGAUUAAAGUAUUGAAAAAGAAACUUGAAAUAAUUUGAAAAAUUAAUAAUUAAAAAGAAAAAUUUAUUUUUUGUUCCUUGUGUAUCAGGAUUAAUUAAAAAUAAAAUUUUUUAAAAAAAUUAUUUAUAAUUUAAAAGAUUUAUAAAUUUUUAAGUUUUAUUAUUUAAAAAAUAUUAUUUAAAAAUUUAUUGAAAUUAAAAGUUAAUCGUUUUUAAAGUUAUAUAAUUUUUAAAGAAAUAAAUUUAAUUUAUAAUUAAUUUUAUAUUAUAAAAAUAAUUUAAAUUAUUUUUAUAAUUAAUUUAAUUUAAUAUUUUAUGGGUUGAGCUUUAAAAUAAAAUUUUAAAAAUAAAAUUUUUUUGGUAUAUAAAAAUAAUCUUAAAAAUAGAUAUUUUUAAUUAUUAUGUUUUAAUUAAUUUUUUAUAUAUUUAUAUUUAUUUUAUAAAAAUUUUAAUUUUAUAUUUAAAUAAUUAUUAAAAUUUAAAAAAUAAUUUAAUUAUAAUUAAAUUAGUAAUUUUAUUUAUAUUUUAUAAAUUAAUAUUUAUAAGAAAUAUAAAAUUUAUGAAUUAGGCAAUAUUAUUUUUAAUUGUUUAACAAAAACAUUGUUUUUUUUAUUUUUUAAAAAAUAAGGCCUGCACACUGAUAUUUUUAAAGAGCCGCGGUAAUUUGACCGUGCAAAGGUAGCAUAAUCAUUAGUUUUUUAAUUGAAGACUGGAAUGAAAGGUUUAAUAAAAAAUAAGCUUUAUUAUUUUUAUAUAAAAUGAAUUUGUUUUUUUAGUAAAAAAACUAAAAUAUUGAUAAAAGACGAUAAGACCCUAUAAAGCUUUAUAAAAUUAAUUUUUAUAAUUUUUUUGGAAAAUUAAAAAUUUUAUAAAUUAGUUAUUGAAUUGGGGUGAUUUAAAGAUUUAAUUAACUCUUUAUAUAAAGUUUUAAAAAUAAUUAAAUUUAAGAUCCUGAAUUUUUGGAUUUAAAAAUUAAGUUACUUUAGGGAUAACAGCGUAAUUUUUUUAGAGAGUUCAAAUCGAUAAAAAAGAUUGCGACCUCGAUGUUGAAUUAAGAUAUAAUUUUAGGUGUAGAAGUUUAAAUUUUUAGUCUGUUCGACUAUUUAUUCUUACAUGAUUUGAGUUCAAACCGGUUUAAGCCAGGUUGGUUUCUAUCUUUAUUAAUUUAUUAUAUUUUAGUACGAAAGGACCAAAUAUAAAAAUUUUAUUUUUACAUAUUGAAUAGUAUUAAUUUAAUUAAAAAGUUUAAAAAUUUAAAUAAUUUAUAAAUAGAAU